rnacentral:tRNA from 1 species
GGGGGUGUAGCUCAGUGGUAGAGCACGUGCUUGGCGUGCACAAGGUCCUGGGUUCAAUCCCCAGUGCCUCCU